CUCUUUUAUAAUACAUUAAGGUCUUUCAGUCAGAAAUUUUUUGCAUUUUCUUUGAAUAUUUUGAUAUUUUUAGUCCCUUUUCUAUACUGGCUUUAGAUUCAUCAUGACAUCUAAAGUAGUCCUAGAUUCAUGGUGAGUUGAUCAGUAUGUUCAUCUUAAUAUCAUCUGGUUAGCCAACAUAGCAGUAAGGGACUUUUAUUUCUACAGUAAUAAAGCUCUUUAUGUAAAUUAUUCUAAGGCAAAAAGAAG
rnacentral:lncRNA from 1 species